AUUGAACGCUGGCGGCAGGCCUAAUACAUGCAAGUCGAACGAGUGGCGGACGGGUGAGUAAUGUCUGAGAACCUGCCUGAUGGAGGGGGCUAACUACUGGAAACGGUAGCUAAUACCGCUUACCAGCAGAUGGGCCCAGAUGGGAUUAGCUUGUUGGUGGGGUAACGGCUCACCAAGGCGACGAGCCCUAGCUGGUCUGAGAGGAUGAGCUGCCACACUGGAACUGAGACACGGUCCAGACUCCUACGGGAGGCAGCAGUGGGGAAUAUUGGACAAUGGGCGCAAGCCUGAUGCAGCCAUGCCGCGUGUAUGAAGAAGGCCUUCGGGUUGUAAAGUACUGUCAGCGGGGAGGCGUUACCCGCAGAAGAAGCACCGGCUAACUCCGUGCCAGCAGCCGCGGUAAUAC
rnacentral:rRNA from 1 species